ACUAAAUUUGCCUUAGAGGGCAAAACAACUGGCUUAAAAUAUGUAGGCAACUUAAGCUAAAAAAGUUUUAAAUACACAACUUUCUUGAGGCCUAGUAGUAGUUUUUUAUGGCUCUGCUAUGUUUUGCUUUUAGAAAAAAAAAUCUGAGCAUAAUGAAAUACUGAACACUAGGCACAACUGUAAGAAGCAGCAUGUGAGAUCCAAAGCAGCAAAGUGGGGGAUUUUCUCUUGCAGUCUGUUAUUCACAGUAGCCUUUGUCAGUACUGGUAAAGAGAUCAGUGAAAGGAUAUUUCCAGGUAGAAAUACAAUUUUGAAAUGGCUUGUAUCCCUUUAAAAUGCAAGACUGUAAAUCAGGACGUCUUUUUAUAUAGCUUUUUGCACCAGUGUUGAAGAAUUGGUGGAAUAGUUGUCUGAAAAUAAUUAAAAGCCUGUGGAGGUGAGAAAUAAUUUUAGACUUGCUUCAGGAGAUACCCAGGAAUCUAAAGGAGAGGAAUAUAAAGCUUUAAUUGUAAUGUGACAGUAACAGCGUGUAGGCUGUGCCAUUUUCCAUUUCUCCAUCUGACCAUUAAAAAAAGCCGUUACAAAUUCCACAUAUAUUACUUAAGUCAUAUAUUGGCUCAGUGAUGACAGAGAGACUGCGAAGUGCUAUCAUUCAAGGAGGCUUCAAUGAGGCUUCCUCUGCUGACUUGUACUGCUUAGGAUGAAAUGUGUGGAAUUAAUGAAGGUGAAUAAUUCAUGAGAGGAGAUAUUUGACAUACAGGUUGUGACAUCGAUUUGUGUUAAAUAAAUAUAGGAGGAGCAGUGAGGUGUGUGUAUUCACUUUUUCAGUGUUAGUGUCAAUUUGUGAGGCGGAUUGUAUAGGACUAGAUAAGAGAUUUUGGGUUAUUCAGUUGUUAACUUGUAACAUGUCUGCCAUCCAUGGAUUUAGACUGAUUUUGGUUGAUCACAAUAGCUUUUAUCUAUGUAAACAGAAUUGUUCCUUAAUGAGGGAGAAGUUGGGGUUUAGAGUAAAAGGAUUCUGGAUAUGGAAGAUGGAAGGUAACAGGAUGAUGAGCUAGACUAGAUGUGGUAAAAAUAUUCUCAUGUAUUUUUGGUAAUGCUGGGCUGGAAUUUAAAUUUGUUUCUCUGCCAGUGCAGGUUGACUGCAUGUGCCGUUUUCAUUCAUGAGUGCAUCUGAAAACUGUCAGAGCUUGUGCUGCAAAGGAAUAUGUAUGUCAAGGAUUUUGGCUGCUACUUCCAAUCUGCUCCUCUUGUUUCAGCAACUUCACAGAUGAUGUAGCAUCACCCUGUUGCUAUACUGUGUUCUUUGCUUCGGGGCUGAAGAGAACGUGCUUAGAAACAUGGAUAUCUGCUGUCCUUUGGAAUUGGUGCAGCAUCUCUCUGCCAGGUUUUUUAGUGUCAUUCCAGUGCCAACAUUGUAGCUGAGGGGAAGAGGAAGGUCCUGGUCAUUAGGGCCUCUCAGUGAGUCACCACAUGCUGUCAAAGCACUGAGGGUCACAUCUUCAGCUUCAUUCAUUGGCAACGUAGACAACAUUACUUUCCAAUUUCUGAAGAUGAUGGAGUUCCUGCAUGUUAUAAAAAGCUUCUCAAGUUUGUGUCACAAACCUUCUGAAAAAGGGACUGGAGCUCGAUAGUAAGCUGUAAUUGUAAACAUAAAUAAGUAGUUUCUGUAAUAUUUAACCUUGUGGUACCCUUAUUAAUGUGAUAUAUAAAUCAGGUUUUACCUUGAUUGAAUUGCUGGGGAUACAUAAUGAUCCCACCUUGAAAAUAACCUAAAUUGGUAUUCUGCUCAUGGAAUAAAUUAGUAUACUUUUUAAUUAUAAUCU